rnacentral:lncRNA from 1 species
GUUAUAUCAUAUGUUGGUUGUUUCUCAGAAAGAGCUUUGAUGAAAUCAUGCGACUGGUGUGGUCUGGCCACCCGACAACCUGCCCACCUGACCCCAUCCCCUCCUACCCGCUCCAGCCCAUAUCAGGAGACCUUCUCCCAUUCCUCACUUCCCUCAUCAACUCAUCCCUGACCACUGGCUGCGCCCCUUCUGACUUCAAAAUGGAAAUCUAUCUAUUGCAUUUGACACUGUGGACCAUCAGAUCCUCCUCUCCACCCUCUCAGGGCUGGGUGUCUAAGUCUCUGCACAAUCUUGCACUGCUCCAACCAGGUGGAAUGGAGAGGAUCUGUGUCAGCACCACGUACUCUCACUACUGCUGUCUCCCAGAGCUCGGUUCUAGGUUAAAAUGUAAAUGUAGAGUGUGUGUUGGAGCAGGGCUGGAACAAAAGCCUGCAUACACAGUAGCUCUCCAAGAGGAGGGUUCUCCACCUCUGAUGUAAAAGGCUUCAAAACAGUAGUUCUCCAGGAGGAGGGUUCUCCGCCUCUGGUAUAAAAGGCUUCAAAACAGUAGUUCUCCAGGAGGAGGGUUCUCCACCUCUGGUAUAAAAGGCUAAAAAACAGUAGUUCUCCAAGAGGAGGGUUGUCCAGCUCUGGUGUAAAAGGAUACAAACCAGUAGUUCUCUAAGAGGACUGCCCAGCUCUGGUGUAAAAGGAUACAAAACAGUAGUUCUCCAAGAGGAGGGUUGUACACCUCUGGUGUAAAAGGAUACAAAACAGUAGUUCUCCAGGAGGAGGGUUGACCACUUCUGGUGUAAAAGGAUACAAAACAUUAGUUCACCAGGAGGAGGGUUGACCACCUCUGGUGUAAAAGGAUACUAAACAGUAGUUCUCCAG